rnacentral:misc_RNA from 1 species
UCUAGAUGCUGGAGCACUUGAGAUCAUUUCUACUUGCCUCACUCAUGAAGGCAGAAAUGCCUCGUACAGAAUGCAAAUAACAGAAAAUGCUGCUGCAGCUCUCUGUCGUUUCAUUGCUCCAUCAAAUUUAGAAUGGCAGAAGAGAGUAGCAGAAAUUGGCAUUAUUCCAGUACUAGUAGAGUUGCUAGUUUCUGGAACCACUUUGACCAAACAAAAUGCAGCCAUUUCACUUAAACAAUUUUCUGAAAGUUCCACUGCCUUGACCAAUCGAGUGAAAAAGCGAUGGCUUUCCUGGUUCUGCUUGGAAGCACCUGUAAAAUGCUGCCCUGUACACUUGGGCAUUUGCACAGUGGAAUCUUCCUUCUGCAUUUUAGAGGCCAAUGCUCUGGAACCUCUAGUAAGGAUGCUUGGAGAGGCAGAUCCUGGAGCCUGUGAAGCUUCUUUAGAUGCACUAUUAACAUUGAUGGAUGCUGAAAGACUGCAAUGUGGUAGCAAGGUGCUUGCUGAAGCAAAUGCCAUUGCUCCAAUUAUAAAAUUGUUGAGCUCGCCUUCUGCCAGCUUGCAGGAGAAGACGCUGAAGGCUUUAGAAAGGAUCUUUCAACUUGUAGAAUUCAAGCAAAAGUAUGGAACUUCUGCCCAGAUGCCCUUAGUUGACAUAACACAGAGAGGAAGUGGUGGCAUGAGAUCUCUAGCUGCUAAGGUACUUGCACAAUUGAAUUUGCUGACUGACCAAUCCUCAUACUUCUGAUUAUUAAUCAUCAUGAUUAAAUUUUAUGUACAAAUGAUUGAAGCUGUAAU